GCAUUCAAGAGGUCGUCGGUUCGAUCCCGAUUAUCUCCACCAAUU
rnacentral:rRNA from 1 species